rnacentral:rRNA from 1 species
AGCGAACGCUGGCGGCAGGCUUAACACAUGCAAGUCGAGCGGGCACUUUCGGGUGUCAGCGGCGGACGGGUGAGUAACGCGUGGGAACGUGCCCUCUGGUUCGGAAUAACUCAGGGAAACUUGAGCUAAUACCGGAUACGCCCUUUUGGGGAAAGGCUUGCUGCCGGAGGAUCGGCCCGCGUCUGAUUAGCUAGUUGGUGAGGUAACGGCUCACCAAGGCGACGAUCAGUAGCUGGUCUGAGAGGAUGAUCAGCCACACUGGGACUGAGACACGGCCCAGACUCCUACGGGAGGCAGCAGUGGGGAAUAUUGGACAAUGGGCGCAAGCCUGAUCCAGCCAUACCGCGUGAGUGAUGAAGGCCUUAGGGUUGUAAAGCUCUUUUAUCCGGGACGAUAAUGACGGUACCGGAGGAAUAAGCCCCGGCUAACUUCGUG